UGUUAGGCAAACACAAACAUUUUUUUUACAACGGACGCCCACGAGUAUUCCUCUGCGUUGAAGUCAUUGUUGAAGUUUGAAAACUCAUAAAGUUUUGUUUUGUGAGUGAAACCGUGAAUAAUACUAAAUAAAAAUGUGUGACAGUGAUCACAGUGAUGAAAAUAUGUUGCCCACUACUCCUCAGGAAAUAUUAAAGCCUUUUCCGUUUAUGUUGUUCCGUUGUUUGCUAUUUUGACAACUUGAAAAGUUUUAUCGGCAGUUUGCGUGUUAUUACUGUGAAGUGUUUGGCCAAACCGCCGCUACCACUUUUGAAAGGAUGCCACCCAAAAAUCCAAAAAUUCGCUCGAACGCAGCACAAAUUAGAUUGCUCGUUGAAUACAUGUCACAGCACACCCGGUUCGCCAACCGGGAAUUUGACGGGCCUCUAAGGACCCCAGAGGUACGAGGCGCAAUGGGAGGCCCUUGCACAGGCCUUAAGGGAGCACGGGCCCAAUAAGUCAGUGCAGGCAUGGAAAGUGGUGGGCACCUGCUCCCCGCUGGCGACACCCUUGCAGAAGCUAGCAUUUUCAGAUAUAUUUACUUUUUAAGUUUUUGGUUUGGUUUAACCGGAAUUAUUUUUACCCGACUAUGAGAAUGGGAAGGGUUAUGAUUUUAGCAGUCUACGUAUGGAUGCCGUAUAUAUGCCGGUAUGUUUUUGUUGUGUAUAAAUUACUAAUCAAUUUUGGUGAAUGAGGUGUUUAUAGGUUCAUUUUUAUGGGGUGACAUAGACUACAUAAUAAUAUUUAACUGACUUUGGACAAGGAAGAGGUGCUAUAGUUAAGAAAAAAAUCAUAGUCGGGUAAAAGUUUUUACAAUCUUUUGCUUGUUUUCAUUCUUAUAACAAAUAUUUUAAACUUGCAUGUGCUCAUUGCCUCAGAUUGACGACUACGUUGAGUUUUCGGGUGCUGGGAACAGUGUGGCUGGCAGCACGUUUUCUGCCACUGCUGAAAAUCUCGUUGUUGUUCCAACAACCGCCACCGUUACUGCGGCCUUGCUCAGCGAACAACCCCACUUCUCCACCUCUCAUUUGUCCUCGUCUCCCUCUCCUUCUGCCAGCCCUAUACGCUCCACGCAUUCAGUACUGCCCACAAGUCCUGGACUACCCGAACGUCCCUCCCUUGCCGCCCUUUCCGCCCGCUAUGCCCGUCCCGCCCUUCUCGCUCGUUCCGCAAUAACCGCCCAACCCGCACGUCUUGUCCUGCCUGCACGUCAAGUACACAGCUCUGUGUACGUGGAUCCGCGCCCUGCACGCGUAUCCACGUACACAGAGCUGUGUACUUGCCCCGCAACCGCACGACGGAACCGGCACCUUCGACAGCACAAUUUAAUCAUCUGCAGCAUGAGCAUGAUAAUAUUUUAAGAGUAAUUAAUUAAUUUAUGAACUAAUAAUUCUGUUUUAAGAUCAGGUUGAGUACGAGAAACAUUGUUUAUUUAACUUGGGACAAGAAAAACAGUAACUUGGCAGUAAGAAUGCAUACAUAAAGCCUGUAAGCUCCAUACUUGACGUACCAUUCCCUACAAGUGUUUCUCUUGCCUCCAUAUUUCGCUUACCCCAUCUGACCUUAUUUGUAUUGAUAAAACAUACAAAUAAUAAAUAUAUAUAUACGCGAGCAAUCGCAAAAUCUACAUUUCGGGAUUUCUCGUAUCGUACAGUGCCGUUUAAAUAAAAUAACACCACCAACUACCCAUAAGAGGGUUAUUAUGAAACUUAUAAUUAACAUGCAUUUUAUUGAAAGGCUGGAAUUUUAUUUAUCUUGAAAUCUUGACCAUGGUCAUAUGUUUGACUGGACGGUACACGGCAAUGUUAUUAUUACUAAUAUAUUUCAUAACACUAGACUUAUUCAAUCCUAAGUAACCUAUUAGCUUCUCAUUCGUGUGCGGUAUAUAUCAGCGUUUGGUAGUAUCAUAAUAGUCAAAUCUGGUGUUGGUUGUUGUUAAUAGUUAAAUGUUCAUAAAAUUUGACAACUUAUUAUAGUUAUAUUUUGUGUGAGUCAGUUAUCAUAACAGAAAUAAGAUAUAAAGCUGUUAAUACCGUAAAUUGUGUAUGGAUAUGUUUGACUCAAAUUCUGUAUUCCCACAAUAAGUAGGUAUACGGGGAGCCCGUAAGAAAUCAGUGGUAUAUGAAGGCUUUCUUGUGCAACUUUAGUAUGAGCUGGAACAAGUAAAUGUAGUUAUGUAGAACAGAUAAUCUCCAUUGUGGUAGAUGGCGCUAUUUAUUAUGUGCUCUGUGAUACCACUUAGUUUAAACUUGCUAUAACAUAUUUUAUGUUGACAGGAUAUCCUGAACGAACUGAAAAUUUUUAAUGAGGCGCAGAAACAAAAAUGGAGUGUUUUGAAGGAGGGGCACGACUUGUUGGCGAAUCGUAUUAACACAUUGGAGGACACCGAGAUUAUUGAGAACUUGGAAGACACAGUUAUAAUGGAAGAGGAAGACGUCUGAGCUAAGCGCUGUCCUCGCACCCUCCGUCUAGUUUACGUUUGCGGCCAUAUCAAAAAUACACACCGUAUGUUUAUUAGGGUUCCGUACCAAAAAGGUACAAAAGGAACCCUUAUGGUGCUAUUGCUAAAUAUCUCGAGAAGUACUUAAGCUAUCGAUGUGAAAUUUGGAAUAGUAAUGAAUAACGCUGACCCAAACAUAUUGGAUGUGUAUUUAUUUUAUUUUAUUUGUAAGUAUUAAUAAUGGAAAAUUCCCAAUAUGAAGAGGGGGUAAAAUUGCAAAGUCUAGUUAAAUAGGUCAAGUGGGGUAUCAUUUGAAAGAGCUCAAAUUGAAAAUUACAAAACAAUUUUUUAUUUUCAUUGUGAAAAAAAAAUUUACGUAUGAAGGAAAAUGUGAAAAUAAUACCAUCCCCCCCCCCCCUC